rnacentral:rRNA from 1 species
GUCUGAGGCCCCGCCGCCCUGAAGGCUCCCGAUCUCGUCCGGUCUGGGAAGCUAAGCAGGGUCCGGCCCGGUCCGGACCUGGGUGGGAGACCGCCAGGGAAGCAUAGCAUAACAUACC